AGAGUUUGAUCCUGGCUCAGGAUGAACGCUGGCGGCGUGCUUAACACAUGCAAGUCGAACGGGAAAUAUUUCAUUGAGACUUCGGUGAAUUUGAUCUAUUUCUAGUGGCGGACGGGUGAGUAACGCGUGGGUAACCUGCCUUAUACAGGGGGAUAACAGUCAGAAAUGGCUGCUAAUACCGCAUAAGCGCACAGAGCAGCAUGGCUCAGUGUGAAAAACUCCGGUGGUAUAAGAUGGACCCGCGUUGGAUUAGCUAGUUGGUGAGGUAAUGGCCCACCAAGGCGACGAUCCAUAGCCGACCUGAGAGGGUGACCGGCCACAUUGGGACUGAGACACGGCCCAAACUCCUACGGGAGGCAGCAGUGGGGAAUAUUGCACAAUGGGCGAAAGCCUGAUGCAGCGACGCCGCGUGAGCGAAGAGGUAUUUCGGUAUGUAAAGCUCUAUCAGCAGGGAAGAUAAUGACGGUACCUGACUAAGAAGCACCGGCUAAAUACGUGCCAGCAGCCGCGGUAAUACGUAUGGUGCAAGCGUUAUCCGGAUUUACUGGGUGUAAAGGGAGCGCAGGCGGUGCGGCAAGUCUGAUGUGAAAGCCCGGGGCUCAACCCCGGUACUGCAUUGGAAACUGUCGUACUAGAGUGUCGGAGGGGUAAGCGGAAUUCCUAGUGUAGCGGUGAAAUGCGUAGAUAUUAGGAGGAACACCAGUGGCGAAGGCGGCUUACUGGACGAUAACUGACGCUGAGGCUCGAAAGCGUGGGGAGCAAACAGGAUUAGAUACCCUGGUAGUCCACGCCGUAAA
rnacentral:rRNA from 1 species